CAACAGUUCCACGGGUUGGGGACCUACUGUAGAAGAGCUUCGUGUUCAAACGGCAGCGUCUGGGCGGUGUGCAAAGAACUUCCAGGUGCUAAAACUGAAGGCUCGGGGUAAAGAUCAAGAUGUAGAACUCUCAGCUCCCUCCCCAGCACCAUGUCUGCCUGACUGCCACCAUGCUUCCUGCCAUGAUGACAAUGGACUAAAUCUCUGAACUCCAUCUUUACAGACACAACUUGACAGGCAUCCGUAUUAAGCAAAGCUGCUUUAUUAAGCACGAAAGGGCACAUCCUCCUAAUGAAGACUUCACUGAAAACCUUAGAAGAGUCUCCUCACGGACUCAUCACCCAACAACUCCUCCAACUUCUAAAGCCUCCUGACCACUUCAGAAAGCAGUGUCUGGACAAGGGACCCCUCUGUGCAGUUCAGGACACCAAUAACCAUGUCCGAGCAGACUGCAGUUUACACAAAACAGAGUGAAAUCUGAGGACUGUCUGUGGACUGUCCUGUUGACGUGUCCCGGAGCCAGCUGUGCACCUUGCCAAGUGCAUUAGUCACUGUUCUUUAACUGUGAAAAGACACCAUAACCAAGACAACUCUUAGAAGAGAAAGCAUUUAAUCGGGGGCGUGUCUGCAGUCCCAGAGAGUUAGUCCAUGAUCAGCCAUGAUGAGGAGCAUGUUGGCAGGCGUGGGGUGCUGGAGAAGUAAUUGAGGGCUAUGCUGAGCCACAGCCAGAGAGAGAGAGAGAGAAAGAUGGGCCUAAACGCCCCCCCCCCAGUGACACACUUCUGCCAACAAGACCACACCUACUCUAACAGGGCCAUGCCCCCUACACCUUCCAAAUAGUGCCACUCCCUGUAUCCAAAUAUAUGAGCCUAUGGGGGCCGUUCUUAUUCAACACCAGCCAUGUCUAUGGAGAGACUUAAAAGGCCAAAGCAUAUUCUUCCGAGAAAUGGCUUGCUUUGGUGAGGACAGGCUUAACACUGCAGAAGCGCUGCAACAGCCUGGAGAUCAGAACUCACGCCCUACGGCCAGUCCACCUGAAAUUACAACCUCCUCCUGUGUGACUGUGGGAGAAUUCCUUCAGCCCCCUGUACCUCAGUUUUCUAAUCUGUGAAGUGGCGAUUGUAACAGCCUCCCUUUGCAGCUUCUUGUCAGGAUUCAGUAAGUAUUGUAAGGGUUACGCUCUUGGAGGAUAUUACUUGGGCUAGAGUCCUUGAGUUUAAUCUCCAGGGAAGCAGAGGGAGGAGACGGAGGAAAUGGGGGCAGAUGGGGAAAAGGAAGAGGGAAAAAAGAGGAAACUUGAAGUGGCACACAGAAAGUUGCAUGGCGGGGUGGGGAAGGACAGACGGCUGGGUGAGAUAGGAUUGUCAGGAUCCUGAGGGCAGGCCAGUUGAAUUGCUUGCACAACCUAACAAUGGUGACCUAGCUACAAUUUUUUUUUUUUUCACUUAGGACAUUAAGAAGAGAAAUGGUGCACCCUGUUGUGGUUCCUUUUUUUUUUACAUUUGGUGUUUGUGUGAGGGAGUCAGAUCUACUGGAAUCUGAGUUGCAGACAGUUGUGAGCCGCCAUGCGGGUGCUGGGAAUUGAACCAGGGUCCUCUGGGAGAGUGGCCAGUGCUCUUAACCGCCGAGCCAUCUUUCCAGCCCUUCUGGUUCUUUCUUAACUUGCUAAAAACAACGCUUCUUUUUAUCCCUGAAAAGAGAUCACACUAAACCAGUUUGGCCUGUCACGGUGGAUAGCUACUACCCAGUAGAAGAAAGUGAUCUUCAGAAACAAGCAAAACCACCUCACUAAACCAGCAUGGAUUUCCAGACAGAACCAAAUUAGGCCAUGAAAACAAGCUCUUCAAAUGUUACACCCUAUUUUUCUAGAAAACAGGGAAUGGCUUUGGUAAAAUUUUCUGAGACAUUUUUUUGUUUGUUUGUUUGCUUGCUUGCUUUCACCACAAUUUGGGGAAGAAACCAGCUUUUAUUUUUUUUAAGUGAUUUCAAGCUUAGCACAAGAGUAUGUGUCCAACAGCCAAGAGAUGGCUCAGAAAGAACAGAGCCCUUAAAAGUUUAGAUUCUAGAAAAUCUCAUUACUGGGGAUACCCCAGAGGAUGGGGCUGCCCUAUGCUGUCUGUCUGUUUGUAUGUAGACCCUACACACUG